UGGACUUUAACCAUACAUGGUCAAACCAUGGUUAACCAUGCACUUUAACCAGAGACCUGGAAGUUAAAUGUGAAACUGGGAAGAGAAGAGAGUUGGAUCUGGUAGACCACAGCUGGCACGGUUCUGAGUUUAGACAGCAUUUAUUUCACUGAUGCACAUCAAUCAAAGAAAGGACCAAGGGAAAAGCAAAACGAGGAUGCCAAGAUAACAUUCAAAUUUUACAGCUAUACCACAAAGUGGAAAUUGUUCUGGGAAAAUGGGACUGUGGAAAAGUUGACAGAAGAAAAUAUCAUCUUUCUGGAGGAUGUCACUUUAUAGUUACACUGUGGGCAAAUUAUUGUUAUUAUAAACAGACAGUUCUACAAUCAGACAAGCAAUUCAUUUCCCUGGUUGUCAUUCCUUCUCCCAGAAGAGACACAGAGAGAAGUAAGUAUUGAUGCAUCAGGAUGUAAAACACCUACGUUAUAUCAGGUGUUACUUGCUGUGUCACUUCCUGUGAGAUGAACAUGUGUAAAUGGAAAUUGUAUCUUGUGCUAUCUGUUCAUCUCCAUUAAACGUUGACAGUGGGUGAAAGGAGAAGAAAUAAUUUAACUGCAAGAAGUAAAAACAACUGGUCCUAGUUCAAAGCAAAAGAAAAACAAAAGCAGGAAUAAACAAAAGCAAAAGUGCUAGGACA
rnacentral:lncRNA from 13 species